UACAGAGGGUGCAAGCGUUAAUCGGAUUUACUGGGCGUAAAGGGCGCGUAGGUGGUUAUUUAAGUGAGAUGUGAAAUCCCCGGGCUUAACCUGGGAACUGCAUCUUAUACUGGAUAGCUGGAGUACAUUAGAGGGUAGUGGAAUUUCCGGUGUAGUGGUGAAAUGCGUAGAUAUCGGGAGGAACACCAGUGGCGAAGGCGACUACCUGGCCUGUUCUUGACGCUGAGGCGCGAAAGCUAGGGGAGCAAACGGG
rnacentral:rRNA from 1 species